GAUGAAGAACGUAGCGAAAUGCGAUAAGUAGUGUGAAUUGCAGAAUUCAGAGAAUCAUCGAAUCUUUGAACGCACAUUGCGCCUUCUAGUAUUCUGGGAGGCAUGCCUGUUUGAGCGUCAUUAAACCUCUCUCAAGUAUGAUUACUUGGAUGUGAAGGAAGAGUACCUUAAACUUAAGGAGUGUUCUCCUUUGAAAUUGAUUAGCAGAUGGUAAUGUUAUUAAAUCCCUGAUGUUGUAAGAAAUAACAGUGGUUUUGUAGACUAUUAUCUAGCUUUAAAUUAUAAUUUUUAUUAUGGUUGACCUCAAAUCAGGUAAGGAUACCCGCUGAACUUAAGCAUAUCAAUAAGCGGAGGA
rnacentral:misc_RNA from 1 species